GCAUCUCCGACACGGCAACAACUCCAUAUUUCGUCGUAAUAUCAGUUCGCAAUCAUGGUUAAUUAUGGCAUUGUGUUGCUGUUGGGUGUUGUAUCGUUGAUGUCGACCACGAGAGAAAAUCUUUUAAAAGGAAAGAGAAAAGGCAACAGAAGUCAAUCGAGUGAGCAUCUCCGACCCGGUAACAACUGCAUUCUUCGUCGUAUUACCAGGUCGCAAUCACGGUUAACUAUGCCGUCAUGCUGCUAUUGGUUGUUGUAUCGUCGAUGGCUGGGUCGACCACUGGUGUACCGACGUCUCCUGAAUAAGGCGUAUAUCAAACCGCAACGCCACCGCCUUACUACGCAACAACAUACGCAACGACCAGAUACUACACCGAGGUUGCACUGUUGGGUUUACAGUUAAACCACCAAGGAUCCAGAUGAUUUCACCACAACUUGUGCUGCUCCUCGAGCUACACUACCAAAGCGCUAGAGUACUACACCGAGGCACCUACUGAGACUACGCAACUACGUAUGCUGCCCCAACCUACGACACCGAGGCUCCAGCUUAUUACAUCACCAAGGCUGUCGAAUUCUACACUGGAGCGCCCAAGUACGACAGAAAUCAGUCAAGUGAGCUUCUCCGACACCCAACACGGCAACCCCGAAGUUUCGAAUAAACUUCGUUUCAAACAGUGGAACGGCAAAGAGUGAAGACAAAUUCGACUGCAAUCGCGUCGAAUUGAAUAGCAAUGAUAACAUAUUCGUACGUGUACACCGCGCCGUUAAACUUGACAUUGUCGGUCGGCAAGCCGCACUUGACGAUGGCCGUACCAUCACCUACGACAAGUGCGUUAUUGCCACAGGUGUUAAACGAAAAUCUUUUCCAAUCCCUGAGCGGUGCCCUUAAAGAUGCCCACGAGCACGUAGCGCUGUUCCGCAACAUCGAUGGCGGUAACAUAGGUCGAGUUCUCCGUCCUCCUAAAUAUUUGAGCCAAUGGACAACCGAGAAGGUGAAAGCGGAAAGUGUUAAUGUUUUGCCCAAAACUAAUGUUGAGGGUGUAAUUUUGGAAGACUACAAGGUCGCAUUGUCCUUAAACAAUGAUUUAAACUGACAAUAUCGUCGCUGCUGUCGGUUGGGACGUAAACACGGAUUUGGCUGUUGCUUUUGGUUUGGAAAUAGAGGAGAGGAGAUUUUGGUGGUUAUCGAGUCAAUACCGAGCUUGAAGCACAAUCGAACGUUUGUUUGACGUUCUUUUGUGAUAUCAAAUUGGGUCGCUGUUGUAUGGAACAUGUUCACCAUGCUGUUGUAUCAGGGCGAUUGGCUGGAGAGAACAAUACUGGCA
rnacentral:misc_RNA from 1 species